rnacentral:tRNA from 1 species
GCGGGUGUAGUUCAAUGGUAGAACGCGAGCUUCCCAAGCUCGCCACGAGGGUUCGAUUCCCUUCACCCGCU